UAAAACGAAACGCAAUCACCGGAACCUCCGAGAGUAAAUGUAGUUUCUACACGGACACGGAUAACAAAGAGGUCACAACAACACGCGCAACUAUGUUGUCUUUCCUGGGUUUCCGAAAAGAUUCAAAGAAGUC